rnacentral:rRNA from 1 species
AACGAACGCUGGCGGCAGGCCUAACACAUGCAAGUCGAGCGGACCUUUCGGGGUCAGCGGCAGACGGGUGAGUAACGCGUGGGAAUAUGCCCUUCUCUACGGAAUAGUCCUGGGAAACUGGGGGUAAUACCGUAUACGCCCUUUGGGGGAAAGAUUUAUCGGGGAAGGAUUAGCCCGCGUUGGAUUAGGUAGUUGGUGGGGUAAUGGCCUACCAAGCCGACGAUCCAUAGCUGGUUUGAGAGGAUGAUCAGCCACACUGGGACUGAGACACGGCCCAGACUCCUACGGGAGGCAGCAGUGGGGAAUCUUAGACAAUGGGGGCAACCCUGAUCUAGCCAUGCCGCGUGAGUGAUGAAGGCCUUAGGGUUGGAAAGCUCUUUCAGCUGGGAAGAUAAUGACGGUACCAGCAGAAGAAGCCCCGGCUAACUCCGUG